AAGGGGAGGAAGGGGCUAGUCGCUGGGGAGCGCGCACGCAGGGCUCCUUAACGGCGGCGCGCACGCAUGAGAACGGCUUCACACUCAAAUUUCACUAAUGUUCUCUUGGCGUGGAGUUCAUGUUAUGUCAUCAAAAGAACAGAAUGUGGCAUCAAAUCUGAACAUCCUCUAAGGUACUCGAGGAACAUACCUGAGAUUCAUUGGUGCGUCUUGACCUUUGAUUUAUCGGGUAAGUCACAUCCGAGUGAUAAUCAUCCCGCACUUCCCGUUCCAGACAUUCAUCAUGUCCAGUUUCUGAGACGCUGUGUUGUGUCAGAAGGGAAGUGUUAUGACACAAGAGUGCAUUCAGGAGCCUGUGGAGUCGUCAUGCAUACAUGUACAGCUUUUAUUUCUUAGUGGCCACCUGUGGUCUCUGACUCAAAAAACACAGCUGUGGAUUAUUAAAUAAACAAGAGUAUAACUAGCCACACAGCACUUAAUGCAAAUUUCAUAUCAGUUGUAUACUCAGGCUACUACUUUAUUGCAGAUAUUACAACAUUCACACUUCUAGGAAUCAUUAAAUACUUAAGAGAAGUGAGCUUUCAUGUGGUGUAGCUCUAUAAAAUAAAUGUUUUACACAAACUGCCCUGCUUGAAACUGUAUUUUAUAUAGAUAAAUGCAUAUAUUGCUGCUAUCAAACAGAUAACUGACAUAAAAUGCAUUUUUAUAUGAGACCACAUGUUACGUCAUUGAACUGUGAUCACUAUUUUUAUUGCAGUGAGUUAAAUGAUAUGCUACGCCACCUAGUGGACAUUUUGGAUCCUCUUAUGUUGAAGUGAACUGCAGCUGCAAAAUCAUUAUCAUUUGUCUCACAAUUCAUUCCUGUAUUUAUUGUAUCUAAAUGUUUUACUAUUAUUAUUGACUUAAAUAUCCAGUUUAACGUUUAAUUUCCAUAUUGGGUAACUCAAGAGCCACAAAAAAAAAUUAAUGUAACAGUUGAAACAUGCAAUAAUGUGAACAAAUGCAACCAACAACUUGUACACCAGUAAAUUGUACAAAGGAAUAUGAUCGAAAUUUACAAGUGGAACUGAAGUAAUGAAAUCAAGAUCAACGUUCUACCACAUUCGGCAUAUUCACUGUGGAAGCCUGUUUCCACCACGGCAUAAAGAAAAAAUUAAAUUAAAAAAAGGGUAAUUGUGACAUUUUAUCUCACAUUUCAGAGUUAUAAACUCUCAGUCAGGUCUG